ACCGUUGAUGCUACAAUGGGCGUUCAAGGAUGGAUGGAGGGACUAUCUCAGCAGACCACAUGAACAGAACGGGAUGAAAAUCCCCGGGAAGUCCUCGUAUUAGUUGAUGAACAAACAGAGUGGCGAUUUUUAUGGUCGGACCAAAUGGCCAGAGUGUCCAUCGUCAUGGCUAUCAUGGCUGACCGCUUUCUGAAGAAUCCCUGCCGUGACACAAGGCAUGGUUCGAGCAUCUUCACGGCGAGGGAUACGUCACCAACGAAGAAUAGAAGUUAUUAC